rnacentral:misc_RNA from 1 species
AUUCUCUUAUGAUAAUUAAAAUUAAAAAUCUAAAAAAAAUAGUUUUAAGUUGGUUUUCAUUCAAGUGCAAAAUAAGUUCAAUUUUGAUUCUACAGUUUCUAUAUGCUAAUCAAAUAUCUUGAAAAGAAAUUUGACUCCAAAUCCGUAGUGAACCAAAUAUAAAUGGAAAUUUACUAUUCCGUUUCCCAUUCCGCUCAAUUCCGAUUCCAAUACUGAUUCCGAUUUCAAUGUGCAAAACCAAACGGACCCUAAAUGUAAAUGACAGCCAACUAAUAAUAUUGCAGCAUUCCCAUUCCAAAUCAUACCUGA